rnacentral:rRNA from 1 species
ACGGUGAGUAACACGUGAGUAACCUGCCCUUGACUUUGGGAUAACUUCAGGAAACUGGGGCUAAUACCGGAUAGGAGCUCCUGCUGCAUGGUGGGGGUUGGAAAGUUUCGGCGGUUGGGGAUGGACUCGCGGCUUAUCAGCUUGUUGGUGGGGUAGUGGCUUACCAAGGCUUUGACGGGUAGCCGGCCUGAGAGGGUGACCGGCCACAUUGGGACUGAGAUACGGCCCAGACUCCUACGGGAGGCAGCAGUGGGGAAUAUUGCACAAUGGGCGGAAGCCUGAUGCAGCAACGCCGCGUGCGGGAUGACGGCCUUCGGGUUGUAAACCGCUUUCGCCUGUGACGAAGCGUGAGUGACGGUAAUGGGUAAAGAAGCACCGGCUAACUAC